rnacentral:rRNA from 1 species
UACGAAGGGGGCUAGCGUUGUUCGGAAUUACUGGGCGUAAAGCGUGCGCAGGCGGUUUUGUAAGCCAGAUGUGAAAUCCCCGGGCUUAACCUGGGAAUGGCAUUUGGGACUGCAAGGCUGGAGUACGGCAGAGGAGACUGGAAUUCCUGGUGUAGCAGUGAAAUGCGUAGAGAUCAGGAGGAAUACCGAUGGCGAAGGCAGGUCUCUGGGCUAACACUGACGCUCAGGCACGAAAGCGUGGGGAGCAAACAGG